rnacentral:tRNA from 2 species
GGUGGGGUUCCCGAGUGGUUAAAGGGAUCAGACUGUAAAUCUGCUGUCUAAUAUAGACUUCGAAGGUUCGAAUCCUUCCCCCAUCA